UACGUAGGGGGCGAGCGUUGUCCGGAUUUAUUGGGCGUAAAGAGCUCGUAGGCGGUUCGAUAAGUCGGAUGUGAAAUCUCCACGCUCAACGUGGAGGGGCCAUUCGAUACUGUCGUGACUCGAGUCCGGUAGGGGAGUGUGGAAUUCCCGGUGUAGCGGUGAAAUGCGCAGAUAUCAGGAGGAACACCGGUGGCGAAGGCGGAUCUCUGGGCCUUACCUGACGCUGAGGCGCGAAAGCUAGGGGGAGCAAACGGG
rnacentral:rRNA from 1 species